AGUGAACGCUGGCGGUAGGCCUAACACAUGCCAGUCGAACGGCAGCACAGUAAGAGCUUGCUCUUACGGGUGGCGAGUGGCGGACGGGUGAGGAAUAAAUCGGAAUCUACUUUUUCGUGGGGGAUAACGUAGGGAAACUUACGCUAAUACCGCAUACGACCUACGGGUGAAAGCAGGGGAUCUUCGGACCUUGCGCGAAUGAAUGAGCCGAUGUCGGAUUAGCUAGUUGGCGGGGUAAAGGCCCACCAAGGCGACGAUCCGUAGCUGGUCUGAGAGGAUGAUCAGCCACACUGGAACUGAGACACGGUCCAGACUCCUACGGGAGGCAGCAGUGGGGAAUAUUGGACAAUGGGCGCAAGCCUGAUCCAGCCAUACCGCGUGGGUGAAGAAGGCCUUCGGGUUGUAAAGCCCUUUUGUUGGGAAAGAAAAGCAGCAGGUUAAUACCCCGCUGUUCUGACGGUACCCAAAGAAUAAGCACCGGCUAACUUCGUG
rnacentral:rRNA from 1 species